CCGGAAGCGAGGCCUGAGCCUUGCCACAACUGGGCCCCCGUCGAAGGCUCUGUUAUGGCGGCCGUGGCAAGGAGCAGGAGGAAGGAGACAAAAGAUGCUUUCUAUGGGGUUGAGCUGCUGGAGGAACAGAAGAAGGACCCCCUGCACUGAUGCUGCCGCCGCUUCUUGCCAACAGUGCCAUCGGCACACCCCCAUCCAUUCGUAACAAUCUCAGGCAUGAAUCGCUACCGGAUCCAAAUUGUACUUCCAGCAAUGGUGCAGCAAUUGAGACAGCAGCUGGUGACAAUCCAAAAAAGGAGCCACCACUAGCCCCCCCCCCCCAGUGAGGAGGAGAAGGAAGAGAGAAAGCUUUCAGCACAUACACCAAUGGUUUCUUAGAAACACCCCCCCCCAUUGAUGCCACCCCACAACGUCAACAUCGCCACCGGCCCCCUCUGCUUGGUCCAGUCCUGGAGGCCGUAGCCCAUCCCC